rnacentral:lncRNA from 1 species
GAGUCGGAUUGUAGACCAAAGCUGGAAGAGGGGGCGAAGGGGGAAGUGCGCUCCCGGAGGCUCUGCCCCACACAGCUCCCCCCCCCCCCCCCGCCGCCGCAGACCGGAGCCCAGGAGGCGUGGCCUCCGGGCGGGUGGGGGGCGGGACAUAAAGGGGAGGGGCCCAAGGGCGGGGCAGUGGGCAGGGAAACUCCCUUAGGACUGCCUAAGAGUGCUCUGCCUUCCUCACACGCGCCUAGUGUGGUGAUAAGACCAAAACUGGGCAGACAAGGGCCUCAAACUCGGGACCUUACACUUGCAAGGCAGACGGCGGCACCGCUGAACUAAAUCCCUGGCCCUCACUUGUUUUUUAAUUAAUGCUGUGUGCUUAUUGAGAUAUUCAACUUCACAUUUAAACACUAUAAAUGUAACAGAAUUUUCUUAAGCAUUGUAUAUUAAAAUCACAGAAGCAUACAGAUCAAAC